UACGUAGGGGGCAAGCGUUGUCCGGAUUUAUUGGGCGUAAAGAGCGUGUAGGCGGCCAAACAGGUCAGCUGUGAAAACUCGAGGCUCAACCUCGAGACGUCGGUUGAAACCGUUUGGCUAGAGUCCGGAAGAGGAGAGUGGAAUUCCCGGUGUAGCGGUGAAAUGCGCAGAUAUCGGGAAGAACACCAGUGGCGAAGGCGGCUCACUGGCCCGGUACUGACGCUGAGGUGCGAAAGCGUGGGGAGCAAACAGG
rnacentral:rRNA from 1 species